rnacentral:rRNA from 1 species
UACGUAGGUGGCAAGCGUUAUCCGGAUUUAUUGGGCGUAAAGGGAACGCAGGCGGCCUUUUAAGUCUGAUGUGAAAGGCAGUGGCUCAACCAUUGUAUGCAUUGGAAACUGGUAGACUUGAGUGCAGGAGAGGAGAGUGGAAUUCCAUGUGUAACGGUGAAAUGCGUAGAUAUAUGGAGGAACACCGGUGGCGAAAGCGGCUCUCUGGCCUGUAACUGACACUGAGGCUCGAAAGCGUGGGGAGCAAACAGG